AUCACCACGCAUCUGGCAAGGCCAUCAAGGAUGUGCUUUCAGUCUUUCACCAAGGAGCUUGGCGAUGACUACCAGAAGCAAGAAAAAUGUAAGGAUGCUGAACUUAGUGCAAUAGAUCUUUUAAAGGACAUGCAUUGCAACAAAAAGAAAGGUUUUAGUGAAAAUAUUGAGAAAGCUAUUGUUGACAUGGAAGAAAUAGUGGUAGCACCAAUUUAGGAUGGAUAACAACCAAAAUAUCCUACAAAAG